rnacentral:scRNA from 1 species
GCAAUGUCGGCCACGGGGAUGGCCUUGCAGCA